UACGUAGGGGGCAAGCGUUGUCCGGAUUUAUUGGGCGUAAAGAGCGCGCAGGCGGUCGAUCAAGUCGAGUGUGAAAGCCCCCGGCUCAACUGGGGAGGGUCAUUCGAUACUGAUCGACUCGAAGGCAGGAGAGGGUAGUGGAAUUCCCGGUGUAGUGGUGAAAUGCGUAGAUAUCGGGAGGAAUACCAGUGGCGAAGGCGACUACCUGGCCUGUUCUUGACGCUGAGGCGCGAAAGCUAGGGGAGCAAACGGGG
rnacentral:rRNA from 1 species